rnacentral:rRNA from 1 species
GUGAGGAAUAUUGCGCAAUGGAGGCAACUCUGACGCAGCCAUGCCGCGUGCAGGAAGAAGGCGCUACGCGUUGUAAACUGCUUUUAACCGGGAAGAAACCCCAGGACGUGUCCUGGGUUGACGGUACCGGAGGAAUAAGCACCGGCUAACUUCGUGCCAGCAGCCGCGGUAAUACAAAGGGUGCAAGCGUUAUCCGGAUUCAUUGGGUUUAAAGGGUGCGUAGGCGGAGCGUUAAGUCAGUGGUGAAAUCCUGCAGCUUAACUGUAGACUUGCCAUUGAUACUGGCGCUCUUGAGUGCGCUUGAAGUGGGCGGAAUGUGCCGUGUAGCGGUGAAAUGCUUAGAUAUGGCACAGAACACCAAUUGCGAAGGCAGCUCACUAAGGCGAUACUGACGCUGAGGCACGAAAGCGUGGGGAUCGAACAGGAUUAGAUACCCGGGUAGUCC